rnacentral:rRNA from 1 species
ACUCAAAUGAAUUGACGGGGACCCGCACAAGCGGUGGAGCAUGUGGUUUAAUUCGACGGUAAGCGAGGAACCUUACCAAGGCUUGACAUUCUUCUGCAAGCGCACGGAAACGUGUGACCUUCGAGGGUGAAGAACAGGUGCUGCACGGUUGUCGUCAGCUCGUGUCGUGAGAUGUUCCCUUAAGUGGGAGAACGAGCGCAACCCCCGUAAUAUGUUGAUUUUCAUAUUAGACUGCCGGCGUUUAAGCUGGAGGAAGGUGGGGAUGACGUCAAAUCAGCGUGGCUCUUACGCCUUGGGCUACACACGUGCUACAAUGGGAAGGUACAAAGGGACGCAAUACCGCAAGGUGGAGCAAAUCCCAUAAAAACUUCUCUCAGUUCGGAUUGGGGGCUGCAACUCGCCCCCAUGAAGCUGGAAUCGCUAGUAACCGUGAAUCAGCCUCGUCACGGUGAAUACGUUCUCGGGUUUUGUACACACCGCCCGU